GGUGCAUUUGACAGUGUGGAUCCUGGCAUACUGGUGAAGGUACUCAGUAAUUCUGGUAUACCUGGACAAUUAUGUAAAUGGAUUUAUGAUUUCCUCAAUAACAGAAUACUAUAUGUUAGGCAUAACAAUAUCUUAUAUGGACCUAGAACUGCAUCAAAAGAACAGAGCUUUGAGGAUCAUAUCAGGAGCAAUGUGUUCGACUCCCAUAAGGGCCAUGGAAGUCGAAACAAAUAUUAUGCCAUUGAUAUUGAGACGACUUAUGCUUGCAGAAAGAUACUGCCUGAAACUAUUAUCAUCAAAUAAUAUCCAAAUUAUAAAUAGGAUAAUACCUCACCCAAUCAAUAUAGAUGGUCCACUCACUUCACCAAAUGAUCUCCUGAGAGGUACAUCUCCAACUCUGUGCCAGAUCUUCUUAGAAAUACAAUCUCAUUAU